AUGAUCUCGCAGGCUCAGUUCAUCUGGUUAUUAUUACUCUGGACCCAGGGCUCCAGCGCGGACAUUGUGAUGACCCAGACUCCAGAAUCCCUGGCAGUGUCUCCAGGCCAAAAGGUCACUAUCAACUGCAAAGCCAGUACAAGCAUUAGUGACUGGUUAGCUUGGUAUCAACAGAAACCAGGACAAGCUCCUAAGCUCCUUAUCUAUGGUGCUACCACCCUGCAAACUGGAGUCUCAGCCCGGUUCAGCGGCAGUGAGUCUGGAACUGAUUUCACUCUCACAAUCAGCAGCGCUGAAGUUGAGGAUGCUGGAGAUUAUUACUGUCAGCAAAGCUAUGAUACCCCUCUCACAGUGAUACAGACCAGUACAAAAACCUUCCUGCACUGUUCCGUUUGCUCUGCUCAGCUGUUUCCCAUACAGUCUGUCACAGUGUCAGUGCACCUGCUGCUCUCAGAUUGGGCACAGUGGUUGGGUCAGACCUCAGGCACCGCUCUGAAGCAUUUUUCUCCCCAGGCCCUUGUCUUCACUGCAGUGAUCGUUUGA